UACGUAGGGGGCAAGCGUUGUCCGGAAUUAUUGGGCGUAAAGAGCGUGUAGGCGGCCAGAUAAGUCCGCUGUGAAAUCUCGAGGCUCAACUUCGAGCUGUCGGUGGAAACUAUCUGGCUAGAGUCCGGAAGAGGAGAAUGGAAUUCCUGGUGUAGCGGUGAAAUGCGCAGAUAUCAGGAAGAACACCCGUGGCGAAGGCGGUUCUCUGGGACGGUACUGACGCUGAGACGCGAAAGCGUGGGGAGCGAACAGGG
rnacentral:rRNA from 1 species